GGCGUUAAAAUAAAAAUAUUAUAUAAAAUAUAUAUGUUUAAAAUAAUAAAAUAUUAUUGAUGCGAAAGGAGACUUGUUAAGAAGAAAUUCGAGAUGUCUCCCUCAUUUAUAUUUUAAGAUAAUACAGAUUGUUUGAACAUGCAAAAUAGAUUGAACAACGGCAUAAUAUGUCAAAAGCUCACUUUGUUAAAAUCGAAUUGAAAAUUCCUUUCACGUCUUGGUUCUAAAUCAAAUCUGCCGCUGGUUUUCCAUCCGGCAUCUUCCCUCUUCCCGUCGCUAUGGUAACAAGGAAUGAUCUAGGAUAUGCUUAUUGGUUUGGAGAGAGACGUCUCUCAGUCACUGAAUCAAUGCUUUUACGCUCGGUUAUUUGGCAAAUUUGUCGGGGGUUUUUGGCCAUUUCGAAGGCUAGACUUUUAUCUCUUUGUUUCACGCACAGUGGAAUCCGGUUAUCUCAAUUGGAUUGUGGCGUGCAAUCCUAUUACUAUCUUCAUUAACCGGGCUCGACACUCGAUUGUCUGCCGUUUGUGAAGGCAGAUUGCGUGGUAUGUUGUCACACUUCGGCUCCUUUCAAUAUUAAGUUAGAAAACUAUUUGCCGUUUGAUGUCUCAAAUUCCACAAUUACGUUAGAGAUAACAGAUUUAAAAGGUUUUGGUUUACCGAACCGCUCACACAUACACUCGCACAAGACUGCAUUCUAACAGAAAAAUCGAUAAUAUUGAACAUUGCACAUCGUAACGCUUCAAUAUUUUUCUUAUAUUUAAAAUAUAUAAAUCUCUAGCAAUUUCUGUUUACGUCAUGUUAAACAUAACAGCUAUGUCCCUUUUUGAACUUGUCAGAUUGAUACAUUACACGUCGAGCAAAUGUCAUUUUUGAAAUCGGGUAGAAGCUUCCAGUUUGGAAUGUUCAAGGAAGAGAGUUGUCAGAAAUGCUGUUCGCUACAUCAGUUAUAAAUGCUACAAAGAACAAAAAUACUGUCAAAUGUCCCCCCUUUUACUCUUUAAAAGCUCUGCUACUGCAUUUUUACUCAAACGUUCCCAAAUGGCUAUAUUUUAUUUUAGAAAUCUCUCUCUCGGAAUAUCCGAGUAAUAACUUCGGUUUAUACAACUUCUUAGAAUGUCAAUUAAUUUUAAACUGAUGUACAUUAUAUAUAUAUAUGUAUGUGUGUAUGAGAAACUUUGAUCAGAU
rnacentral:lncRNA from 1 species